AAGUCGUAACAAGGUCUCCGUUGGUGAACCAGCGGAGGGAUCAUUACUGAGUACUACACUCUCUACCCUUUGUGAACUAUUAUACCUGUUGCUUCGGCGGCGCCCGCAAGGGUGCCCGCCGGUCUCAUCAGAAUCUCUGUUUUCGAACCCGACGAUACUUCUGAGUGUUCUUAGCGAACUGUCAAAACUUUUAACAACGGAUCUCUUGGCUCCAGCAUCGAUGAAGAACGCAGCGAAACGCGAUAUGUAAUGUGAAUUGCAGAAUUCAGUGAAUCAUCGAAUCUUUGAACGCACAUGGCGCCUUCCAGUAUCCUGGGAGGCAUGCCUGUCCGAGCGUCGUUUCAACCCUCGAGCCCCUGUGGCCCGGCGUUGGGGAUCUGCCACGGCAGGCCCCUAAAACCAGUGGCGGACCCGAAGGGUCCUCUCCUUUGCGCAGUAGCAUUCGCCUCGCAUCGGGAGUCCUCGGCGUCCUGCCUCUAAACCCCCCCACAAGCCCGCUUCGGCGGCACCAAGGUUGACCUCGGAUCAGGUAGGAAUACCCGCUGAACUUAA
rnacentral:rRNA from 1 species